rnacentral:rRNA from 1 species
CCAGACUCCUACGGGAGGCAGCAGUGGGGAAUAUUGGGCAAUGGGCGCAAGCCUGACCCAGCAACGCCGCGUGAAGGAAGAAGGCUUUCGGGUUGUAAACUUCUUUUAAGAGGGAAGAGCAGAAGACGGUACCUCUUGAAUAGGCCACGGCUAACUACGUGCCAGCAGCCGCGGUAAUACGUAGGUGGCAAGCGUUGUCCGGAUUUACUGGGUGUAAAGGGCGUGCAGCCGGGAGUGCAAGUCAGAUGUGAAAUCCCGCGGCUCAACCGCGGAACUGCAUUUGAAACUGUGCUUCUUGGGUGCUGGAGAGGCAGACGGAAUUCCUAGUGUAGCGGUGAAAUGCGUAGAUAUUAGGAGGAACACCAGUGGCGAAGGCGGAUGACUGGACGGCAACUGACGGUGAGGCGCGAAAGCGUGGGGAGCAAACAGGAUUAGAUACCCCUGUA